rnacentral:rRNA from 1 species
UGGGGAAUAUUGGGCAAUGGGCGCAAGCCUGACCCAGCAACGCCGCGUGAGGGAAGAAGGUUUUCGGAUUGUAAACCUCUGUCGCAGAAGACGAAGGAAGUGACGGUAAUCUGUGAGGAAGCCCCGGCUAACUACGUGCCAGCAGCCGCGGUAAUACGUAGGGGGCGAGCGUUGUCCGGAAUGAUUGGGCGUAAAGGGCGCGUAGGCGGCCUGUUAAGUCUGGAGUGAAAUUCCUGCUUUUAAGGUGGGAACUGCUUUGGAUACUGAUGGGCUUGAGUGCAGGAGAGGUAAGCGGAAUUCCCGGUGUAGCGGUGAAAUGCGUAGAGAUCGGGAGGAACACCAGUGGCGAAGGCGGCUUACUGGACUGUAACUGACGCUGAGGCGCGAAAGUGUGGGGAGCAAACAGGAUUAGAUACCCUGGUAGU